UGAGUUCUACCCUUGUUUUGAAGUUUUGAAGCUUUAAUAGGAGUUUUGGGAGCUUGGAGGCUUUUGGAGCUUGGAUCCUCCACACCUCCGAGUUAGGGAUCGCACCACCCCUCGAUCUUCAAGAGGUAAGUGUAGAUCCUUGCUUUCCUCAUGUUUUAAUGGAGUUUUAAGUAAGUUUAAAGAUGUUUUGAUGGUUGAGUAUGGGUAGAUAUGCAUGUUUAGGUUUAUGUGGGUUUUAUGCCCAAUGUAUGCUUAUGUGAUGUUCUUUGUUGGAGUUUAAGCUCGUUUAAGCUCCUUUGUGCAUGGUUAAGGUUUAUGCAUGUGUUUUAAGAAGUUGGUUGCUUGUUGGGGUGUCUGGAAGGCUUGGGAGGCUGGUAUGCAUAAGAGGCUGAGUUCUGGAUGAACUCAGGUUCGGCCGCCGAAGGUAGUUUCGGCCUCCGAACCUGCCUAUGGAUGCAUGGAUUGGCCGCCUAACCUUGCCCCUGAAAGUUGUGUUUCGGAUCUGGAGCAGACUUUCGGCCGCCGAAGGUAAUGUUUGGCCGCCGAAAGUGCCUGACUUUCGGAUCUGGAGAGAGGGUUCGGCCGCCGAAAGUGCCCCCGAACCUGCAUGUCUUUCGGCUCUGGAAGGGACCUUCGGCCGCCGAAAGUGCCCUGUCCAGCCCUUCCAUGGUUGUUUUCUAUGCAUGCUUUGGUAAUAUUUUAGGAGUUUUUGGGGAGUUGUUUAUGAGUUGUUUAGAGUGUGUUUGGCACCUCAUUCGAGUCCACCUGAGUAAGAUCGGACCCGAGGGACCGAGGAGGCCAUCAGUGUUAGCUGUUGCAGAGUCAGUCCAGCGUCUGCCAGAGGUGAGUAGAACUAGAUUUAAUAUUUUAUUUAACGAAAUCAAAUGACUAAAGCAUGUUCAUGCAUCAUGUUUAUAUGUAGUAGGUUGAUUGCACUAGUUACACGAAUAUGACGCAUUGCAUUAUUUUCUGUUGAUGUGGAUGGACCAAGGCGACCCCAAUAGCCCUAUAUAUGUUAUGUUAAUGAAGUCCUGAGGAGCCCCACCGAGGGCCGGGCAUAAUGAAGUCCUGAGGAGCCCGAAGGGCCGGGCAUAAUGAAGUCUUGAGGAGCCCGAAGGGCCGGGCACCAUGAUAUGUUACAGACAGAGGGAGUUUUAGUGGUCAUGUCCAUCCGUUAUGUGAAAUGUUUGUGCUGUGACGCAUUUCAUAAAAGCAUGUAAUUAAUGAACUGUUUUAUUGUUUCUACUCACUGGGCUUUUUAGCUCACCCCUUUCCCCUAACCCCAGGUUUCCAGGUCUGAGGAAGAUCGGGAAGUCGCAAGAGUUAAGGUUAUUGUUGUUGUAAUAGACUAGUGUUUUAGUGUGGACAUGUAUGGUAAAAAUGACAUAACGUAUUGUAAGAUAAUGUGAUGUAAUGUAAUAUGAAAUAGAGUUAUGUUUAUGGAUAGAGUUGUGUUUUGCCCUGGUGUAUGAUUAAUCCCUUUGUACAUGGAUCUUGUUUUACGUUUCUUGAUGAGAAAUGUGUUGAAAUCAGGCUUAACAUAUGGUAUGUUUCCUUGAGUUCCAGUGUUUGUGUUAUGGGGAAAGAAAGGGUUUGAAUCCCUCGACCCAGAAACAUAACCGUGAGGGGAAGGACGCUGGGCGUGAACCCAAAGUGGGUAGUAUUCAUUGGUGUAGGCCCUGAGGGCGGGUUCAGAUUGGUAUAUCUGAAUGUUUGUAGUGUAUGCUUAGGUUAAGCCUGAUAGUUGGAAGAAAAGUUUUUCAGGUAUUUUUAUGUUUGUUUGAUCAUGUAUGGGAUUUAUCAGGUACACAGAGUUCAGGUUAGACUUGCUACGGGUCCCGGCGUCCUUAAGCCAAUCUGGAUCCUAGCGCCGGUGGCGGUUCGGUCCGUUACAGAGGGGUAUCGGUUUCCGGGUCGUUACAGAGUGGUAUCAGAGCUUUGGGCCUCAAGAGUACGGUGUGUUACACAUCGGAAAGAGGUUAUAGGAGGGCAAGCACAGUAGGAAAAAAAUCAUGUCCACUAGGAUAGGAUGUAGAGUCCUGUCUUGUAUGAUGAUGUGGAAUGCCAUGAUUAUAUGCAUGUGCAUUAAUGUUAUGCUAUGUAUGCUAUGUAUGUGUUGUAGGUUCAUGUGUUUUCACCUGAACCGUAUGAUGCUAAUGUUUGAAUGCUUGUGUGUUGUUCUUUAGAGGAGCCAGAAUGCGAGGUGCUCGUCGAUCUGUGGAAUCGACUAGAGUUCCAUCUGAGAGGGAAGGUAUGGAUACCUUUUCCCCUGCUCUGCCAAGAGCGCAGUCGUGGGGAGUCAGCAGAUGGGGAACAUCGAGGGACCCUGGAAGGUCUUUUGAUGUGAGCAGAGAAGGAAUGGCUCCAAGAAGGAUGUCAGCUAGUAUGAGGGAAGUGGAGAUGGAUGUUCAGAGAAGAGAUGUCAGUUUGGGAAUCAGAGUGCCAGAGGAAGGCAAGGGAGAUUCUCAGGAGGAUGCUCAGACUCAGGAUUCCAGAAUCUCAGGUUCAGGGGGGAUUGAUCCCUCCACUCUGAGUACAGCCGCCACAAGAGGAGUAAAGUGGGGCAGAACCCUGAGGGGGAAGAGGAAGAAGUUUUGGAAGAAUUUGAAGUCUAGUCUGAGAUUAGGUAGUGGUUCGAGUUCUGGCGCCGAUACUUCUGGAUGCAUGAGGUGUGGAAGGCCGCACAAGGGAGUCUGUCUGAUUGGGACUAAUCUAUGUUUUAGAUGUGGUCAGGAAGGGCACAUGGUACGUGAGUGUCCCAUUGCGCCCUGGUUGGCACAGUCUCAGCGGGCAACUUCAGGUAGAGCGGCUCAGCCAGUAGCUCCAGCCAUGUUGCAGGUCAGUGGUCGAGGUAGAGGAAGAGGGUUGGCCUCUUCUUCAGUAGGUUCCCGUGGAGAAGGUCUGUUAGCUCCAGCUCGGAUCUUCACCCAAGCUUAGCAGGAGGCAGACGCAUCGAACACAGUGGUGCCAGGUAUGCUCACUUUUGAAUGUUCUGAUGUGUAUGCUUUUGUGAACCCUGGUAUUUCUCUUUCUUUAGUUGCUCUAGGAGCCGUCGAGAGGUUGAGUUGAUAACUUUUGGGCUAGAGUGUCCCCUUUGGAUCAGUGGACCCAAGUGUGAUCCAGCUGUGGCAGAGUCAGUCUGCCGGUCUAGUUCUGUGUCAGUUGAGGGUAGAUGCCUUCCACCCGACUUUGAGGUCCUAGACUUGACUGUCUGGACGUCAAUCGAGGGAUGGAUUGGUUUUUUACUCGUGAUGCUAUCUUGGUCUGCAGAGACAGGGUAGUCAGAUUCUGAGGAUAGGAUGGGUCAGAGGUAGUCUGUUGAGGGGACAGUAUAGGGAUGCCUAGAGGUUUGAUAUCAGCCUGUCAGGUUCGUAGGGUGCGUAGGAAGGGUUGUCAGAGGGUUCGAGUUCUUGUUGGGAGUUUAGUAGUUAGGUCGGGGAACCAGCCUCAAUGCCAGUUGUUAGAGAGAAAGUCUUAGAUGUUUUCCUAGGCGAGUUGUCAGGAUUACCACUUGCUAGGGAGAUAGAGUUUGGAAUGGAAGUGGUACUCGGUACCAGAACCAUUUCUAUCUUUCCCUACAGGAUGGCACCUGUAGAGUUUUAAGAGUUGUUAGAGCAGUUGCAAGGGCUUGGUAGACAAGGGUUUUAUCCGACCUAGUACCUCACCUUAGAGUGUUCCAGUGUUGUAAUGGGAAAAGCAGGAUGAAUCCUCGAGACCCUGUGUCGACUUUAGGCAGUCGGACAAGGUCGCUACCAAGAGCAGGUAUUCCUUACCUGUUGAGAGUUAGAGAAGAAGUCAGUUUAGUAGAGAAGAGGAGAGAAGAGAAAGGAUCAGAGUAGCGCAGUGGAAGCGUGUCGAGUUUCAGGAGAAGGUUGGGGUAUUGCUAAGGUGUCUCCUAUGAAGAGGGUGCAUUGUUAAGGGAAGAAGGGUGAACUAGCUCCAAGAUACAUCAGACCCUUUGGAGUCCUGCAAAGGAUUAGGGGAUGUAUCCGACAAGUUAGAUUUACCUACUUCCAUGGAAAAAAAAAUCCAUUCGGAUUUCUAUGUUCCUGUGCUAUGGAAGUUCGUGUCAGAUCCAAGUGAGGUUCUUAAAGAACCAGAGGUGGAGAUCUCGGGGGGUCUCACCUAUGUUGAGUAGCUAGUGCGGAUCAUAGACACACAAGUCAAGAAGAGAAGGAACAAGGAAACCCCGAUGGUGAAAGUCCUUUGGAAUCGCCAGUGUGGGCGAGUUCGCUUGGGAGACCCGGGAGUUCGUACUCCAGCAGUACCUGUGUCUCUUUUUAGGAGAGAGGUUUUUAGGUUUUGCUUGCUUGUUUGCUUGCUAGUUAUGUAUGCUUGAUGCUAUGUUUUUGAGAAUGCCUGUUUGUUUGUGGAACAUUCAGGGACGAAUGUUCUUAAAGAGGGGAAGAAUGUAAUACCCGGUUAGAUUCCAGCAUCGGAAUCCCUACCUUCCGGCGGAAUCUCCGUUGGAAUCGGGAAUUCUGAAGAUGCCAGAGGCUUCUAGAGGGGUAAGAUGUGUUUCUAAAAUGUUUUCACAUGAUUUUAUGGUUUUAAAUGGAAAACAAAUUGAAUUUUGAAAAGAAAAGACCAAGGAGGCAUUUGCCAGGUUCGGCCGCCGAAAGUGAAGUUCGGCCGCCGAAUAUGGGAAAGUUUCGGGAGCGCUUUUGGCCUUCGAAAGCUUUGUUUGAACGAACCAAGGUUCGGCCGCCGAACCUUAAGUUCGGCCGCCGAACAUGCAUGAGUUUAGAGGGCACAUUAGGCUGCCGAAGGUCGUUGACCAGGCCACCUAUAAAGAGCCCUCAGAUCGGAAAUGGGCGAGUUUUCUCCCCAUUCUCGAGCUCAGGUGAGUUUUUGUCCUCCUUUGGUCGUUUUCAUGUUUUCUCUACCCAUUCCUCAAAUUUUCAUGAGUUCUACCCUUGUUUUGAAGUUUUGAAGCUUUAAUAGGAGUUUUGGGAGCUUGGAGGCUUUUGGAGCUUGGAUCCUCCACACCUCCGAGUUAGGGAUCGCACCACCCCUCGAUCUUCAAGAGGUAAGUGUAGAUCCUUGCUUUCCUCAUGUUUUAAUGGAGUUUUAAGUAAGUUUAAAGAUGUUUUGAUGGUUGAGUAUGGGUAGAUAUGCAUGUUUAGGUUUAUGUGGGUUUUAUGCCCAAUGUAUGUUUAUGUGAUGUUCUUUGUUGGAGUUUAAGCUUGUUUAAGCUCCUUUGUGCAUGGUUAAG
rnacentral:lncRNA from 1 species